AACUGAUACUACCUGCGGGAACCUGCGGAAGGAUCAUUAUUGAAUGAGUUUUUAAAACGGGUUGUGGCUGGCCUCCUGUGAGGCAUGUGCAACGCCCUACUCAUCCACUCUAUAAACCCUUUGUGCAGAAUGGCUAGAGAAUUGAAUAUAUUCCUGGGGUUAAUGGAAUAUCAUCAAUUUGGUCGUAAGACUAGAUUGAUAUCAUUUUUCUACGCCUUUUUUUUCUUGUCUUAUAGACAA
rnacentral:misc_RNA from 1 species